rnacentral:rRNA from 1 species
CAUUCACACAGGAAACAGCUAUGACCAUGAUUACGCCAAGCUAUUUAGGUGACACUAUAGAAUACUCAAGCUAUGCAUCCAACGCGUUGGGAGCUCUCCCAUAUGGUCGACCUGCAGGCGGCCGCGAAUUCACUAGUGAUUAUUGACGGGGGCCCGCACAAGCGGUGGAGCAUGUGGUUUAAUUCGAUGCAACGCGAAGAACCUUACCAAGGCUUGACAUACUACAGAUUUCUUUGAAAGAGGAAAGUGCCUUCGGGAAUGUAGAUACAGGUGGUGCAUGGCUGUCGUCAGCUCGUGUCGUGAGAUGUUGGGUUAAGUCCCGCAACGAGCGCAACCCUUAUUUUUAGUUGCUAAUUUAUUUUAGGUUUUCUAGAAAGACUGCCGGUGACAAACCGGAGGAAGGUGAGGAUGACGUCAAGUCAGCAUGCCCCUUAUGCCUUGGGCUACACACGUGCUACAAUGGUUAAGACAAAGAGUUGCGAGCUCGUGAGAGUCAGCUAAUCUCAUAAACUUAGCCUAAGUUCGGAUUGUAGGCUGCAACUCGCCUGCAUGAAGUCGGAAUCGCUAGUAAUCGCUGGUCAGCCAUACAGCGGUGAAUCCGUUCCCGGGCCUUGUACACACCGCCCGUCACACCAUGGGAGCUGGUCAUGCCCGAAACCGUUUGCUUAACCUUUAUGGAGAGCGGCGUCUAAGGUAGGGUUAGUGACUGGGGUGAAGUCGUAACAGGUAACCGUA